UUUUUGUAGAUUUUCACCAAUGAGCGUUUCUGUUACAGUCGUCAAAGCACGCGGUUUCUAUCAAUGAAAAAGUUCUAAGAGGCUGAACCAACGCAAAAAAAAAGAAAAGAAAAGAAAAAAAAAUAAUAUGAAUGUCGGCGGUCAAGUGUAGGGGGCCCGCUGAUAUUGGAACAUUUGUAUAACGGAAGUAGAAAUACGUUGUACGGUCCUUAUUUCCGGUUGUGGGUCCAGCCCACGACACGAAUGUUAGCCGUUUGGGCUUCCAGCGGGCGUUUAAGUCGAAAAAACAGGACACGGUGGCUACAUGUGAUUGAUUGUAAUGAAACCCACGCUACUGCGGGACCACGAAGGGUCCAUCACUCAGAUGAAGUACAACGGAGAGACUUUCUGUUUUUCCGUCGCUAAAGAUCCAUGAGCCUACACCUGGUGGAUUGCAGAUGC